UCGUCCAAUUGCUGACAAGAAAAUCAAAGGGUAGGAAUGGGAAUGUAUCCAAUCAGCGUCGACGUUGUUUCAGAACGUUUCAGAAGCAUGAUGGGCGAUAGAGCUACCGCCAAGGCUUUCGUUUGUGUUCGGUAGAACUCGGAGAGUCUCGUGAGGCCGAUGUAAUGGACGCCAGUGAGCCUACAACCAGGAUACCGGAUCUCAGCAGCCACUGAAUUCAGUUCGGUCUCUUCUCCAGUAUCAUCCGUUCGAGAGGAGAACUAUGGUGGAAAAACUUAAUGUCAAAGAGCUUGGACCAGAUCAGCCCGACGUAAAGAGAAGCCAGCAGGACAAGGAGAAGGGUAAACUGUACACACGAGGCUUCUGGGAAGGCUUGGCUAGCUGGAUGCAAUCACGCUAAUGCGUUAUUUUGCUUUCCGUGUCUGUUAUUCAAAACGACGGUGACAGAUGAGGCAUGGAUUGAGUCAGGAGUUACGGACAUGAAACAUUUUUCUGAGAAGGUGAAGAAACACGAGUCAUCCCGGGCGCACAUGGACAACACGGUGAAGCUAGCCAUGCUAGGCAGAGCUAACAUUGCCAUGCAGCUAGAGACGAGGGACGCAGGCUUGCAGUGAAGAAACACAAUGAAGAAGUGGAUCAGAACCGGCACAUUUUGUCCAAGAGAGAGAUGUCAACACAGUGUAUGAGCACAAGGAUGACCUCCUCAGAUGUUUCCAGAUGAUCAGAGACUCGGAUGACUUUGAUCCAGUCACUGAGAGAGAGGCAGGAGGCUUUGUGAGAAUGCUGGAGGAAGAAGAUUUCGGCUUUCUGCUGGCAUUGUGUCACAAGAUCAUGCCACAUGUGGACAAGCUGUUCAACCAGCUGCAGAAGAGGAACACUGACUCUGUCUCCAUCACAGGGGUCAUCCAGAGCUUCACCAACAGCAUGCAAAAGAUCAGUCUCCAUCGACUCCAUCCGUGAGGUCUGUGAGGGGAAACGGUCUGAGAUCUUCCAGCGCUACUCGGAGGGCAGCUUCGACCCAAACUGCUGCUUCAGCCUGUAUUAUGGUGAGCACAUGGAGUCUCUGGACCUGGUGUCCGGUACCAGAGAGGAGGCGCGGACCUGGAUCACCGGUCUCAAGUACCUGAUGGCCGGCAUCAGCGACGAGGACAGUCUGGCAAAGAGGCAGCGCACCCGCGACCAAUAUCCUUACCCGAGUCAGUGGUGUGGUUCUGGUUCCGCUCUGAAAUGUUUUGGCUAAAACCGAAUUCUAACUGAGACGGACCUUAACUUGGCUCACGUGGCUGAAGCAGACGUUCACCGAGGCGGAUAAGAACGGCGACGGCAGUUUGAGUAUAAGCGAGGUUCUUCAUCUGCUGCACAAACUCAACGUGAACCUGCCCCGGCAGAAGGUCAAGCAGAUGUUCAAGGUGGAAGCAUGUAUCCGAGUCCGGAUCGGGACGCAACGCCCGAUCUCGAUACGAGUCUGAAACCACGAGAUCAGAUGGGGACGUCACGUCUGCUUACACUUGUUAGAGACUUGGCUCUAGUGACUCGACCUGCAGGUCAGUUCUGUAGAAGCGAGUUUUACAUGAAGUUGUUUUCUCCUCUAAUGAAGUCCAAAGAGGACUGAGGACCCGUCUGACCUCAACAACCACCGACCCAUCUAGUUGUCAUCAUCGAUGGACAUCCUGUACAAUACUCCACACAAGUCAGAAGCCUCAAUGUCCUUCUGGACAACACCCUCUCAUUUGCACCCCAUACCCCACGUCACCUGAAACGCCUUCUUCCACCUUUGGACCUUUCCAGAAUUCGUUCAUCUUUGUCCGAGUCCGGCUCUGAAAUCUUGAUCCACUCAUUUGUCGCUUCCCGUAUCGACUUUUGAAACGCCUUCCUCACUGGGGUUCCUAACAAACUCAGCAACAAACUGCAAUUUAUCCCGCUCCCAUCCGUCUUCACUGGCUCCCGGUCCAAUUCCGCAUCCACUACAAAAACCCUCCUCCUCCCUUUCAAAGCCUCCCCCCCCCCCACCCCCGCACUCUCCGUUCGACCUCUGCUGGACUCCCGACCAUCCCGUCAACACGCCUCGGCCCGACACGUGGAGCUCCCUUCCUCCAAAAGUCAGACUGGCGGUUUCCAUAGCAACGUUUAAAUCCAGACUCUCCUGUUUCAGUCAGCAUAGCAACUCUUUCCAGAAAGUACACAUGAAUCACCAUUUUGUAAUACACCUCGUGGAUUUUAAUAUUACGAAUGCUCUUGUUUUUAAAUGUAGUUUUAUCUGUAAGGGACCGUUAAAUUAAAUGUUAGGAAAGUCUCAAAGUCAAAGUAAGAGUUGUUUAUUCUAAUUCUUACCUUUAAUGUGUGUUUAUUUGAUCUGAGCAUCAACUCCAGGAAAUAAAAAUCCAAAUUUCAUGUCAAACCCAAAAGUUGUGCAGCUGGUGGCCUUUGUGGUCCCUAUCUACCUCUGCCCCAACGGCGACUCUCCCCGGUCCAUCGGGUCGCUGCGGUGGUUCCGAUAAAACACCACGAGGCUCUCUGAGCUUUUAUCAGAGCAGCUUGAGCCCUAUCAGCUGCACCCCAGGCUGAUGAGGAAGAGAUGCUAAUCUGCACCUUGGUGUUGACAGCUCUGAUAGCUCCACACGUAAAGCGCACACAC